CUACGGGGGGCUCCAGUGGGGAAUAUUGGACAAUGGGCGCAAGCCUGAUCCAGCAAUGCCGCGUGAGUGAAGACGGCCUUAGGGUUGUAAAACUCUUUCGCUAGGGAAGAUAAUGACUGUACCUAGUAAAGAAGUCCCGGCUAACUCCGUGCCAGCAGCCGCGGUAAUACGGAGGGGACUAGCGUUGUUCGGAAUUACUGGGCGCAAAGAGUUCGUAGGCGGACUGACAAGUUAGAGGUGAAAUCCCAGGGCUCAACCCUGGAACUGCCUUUAAAACUGUCAGUCUAGAGACCGGAAGAGGUUAGGGGAAUACCUAGUGUAGAGGUGAAAUUCGUAGAUAUUAGGUGGAACACCAGUGGCGAAGGAGCCUAACUGGUCCGGUACUGACGCUGAGGAACGAAAGCGUGGGGAGCAAACAGGAUUAGAUACCCGGGUAGUC
rnacentral:rRNA from 1 species